rnacentral:rRNA from 1 species
GACGAACGCUGGCGGCGUGCCUAACACAUGCAAGUCGAGCGAAUGAAGUUCCUUCGGGAAUGGAUUUAGCGGCGGACGGGUGAGUAACACGUGGGCAACCUGCCUCAUAGAGGGGAAUAGCCUCCCGAAAGGGAGAUUAAUACCGCAUAAGAUUGUAGUACCGCAUGAUACAGCAAUUAAAGGAGCAAUCCGCUAUGAGAUGGGCCCGCGGCGCAUUAGCUAGUUGGUGAGGUAAUGGCUCACCAAGGCGACGAUGCGUAGCCGACCUGAGAGGGUGAUCGGCCACAUUGGGACUGAGACACGGCCCAGACCCCAACGGGGGGCAGCAGGGGGGAAAAUUGCAAAAGGGGGGAACCCCUGAUGGAGCAACGCCGGGUGGGGGGUGACGGCCUUCGGGUUGAAAAGCUCUGUUUUCAGGGACGAUAAUGGCGGUACCGGGGGGGGAAGCCACGGCAAACUACGG